rnacentral:lncRNA from 1 species
GUCAGAAAAGAUUCGUCUGCUACUGACAGGGUCGCCUGGGGCAUGCCACGGUGACGUCAGCUGACAUAGCGGAGUUAUCUCAACAGCCAUGAAGUUCCUUGUGCUCGGAGUGUCUGUUAUCCUCGCUUUCGGGGUCGUCAGCAGCGAGCGGUGCAGCGGCAGUGACGCCAGCACCUGCUCCCGAGAGAAGAGCGACACCAACUACCAGCUAUCAUGCGUCAAUGACGAGUGCACCUGCCUCGUCUCUGCUUGCUUCACCAGCCAACGUGAGGCGCUGUGCACACUACUGGACAAACUCUUAUUUUACAAUACGACGAAACCUCUUAACUCGAAUCCAUUGUCUCGAUAUACCGUUUGAGACAACUUUCCCCUAUUUGACCCCUGUAGAAUCGUUAUUGGCUCUUUGAUUCUUUUUUUCUCGGUACUACAGCAUUGCUAUUUGGCCCAUAUAAUGCCGUUACAACGUUAAACUCACUCACUCACUCACUCACUCACUCACUCACUCACUCACUCACUCACCCUCGGUGCUACGCGUAACUCGAUGUGUGUUCGACUUCGAGUUAUUGAAGUCUCUCUGAUUCACUGGGUUACUUCUACUAUGCAUAUUCCAGACGGAGUGGAGAAUGUUGUUUGAAGCCAUAGUCCGUAAGCUGUGUCACUUGAGGGGGCAUGCGUGGCCCAGUCGUCUAAGGGGCCGCGAUUCGCUGUGCAGAGUUGCGUCCCUUGGGCA